UACGUAGGGGGCUAGCGUUGUCCGGAAUCAUUGGGCGUAAAGCGCGUGUAGGCGGUUCGGUAAGUCCGCUGUGAAAGUCGGGGGCUCAACCCUCGAAUGCCGGUGGAUACUGUCGGACUAGAGUCCGGAAGAGGAGAGUGGAAUUCCCGGUGUAGCGGUGAAAUGCGCAGAUAUCAGGAGGAACACCGGUGGCGAAGGCGGGUCUCUGGGCAUUACCUGACGCUGAGGAGCGAAAGUGUGGGGAGCGAACAGG
rnacentral:rRNA from 1 species